UACGUAGGGGGCUAGCGUUGUCCGGAUUUAUUGGGCGUAAAGAGCGUGUAGGCGGCCAGGUAGGUCUGCUGUGAAAACUCGAGGCUCAACCUCGAGACGUCGGUGGAAACUGCCUCGCUAGAGUCCGGAAGAGGAGAGUGGAAUUCCUGGUGUAGCGGUGAAAUGCGCAGAUAUCAGGAGGAACACCGAUGGCGAAGGCAGGUCUCUGGGCAUUAACUGACGCUGAGGAGCGAAAGCAUGGGGAGCGAACAGG
rnacentral:rRNA from 1 species